UAAGGAAGAGUUCUCAGGCUGACUUUGGAAGGCAUUUGCAACAAGCACUACAGAAGACUCAGAUGGUUUGACAAGAAGAAAACAAAGAACAGGGUGGGCCCUGAUCCAGUGUGACUGGUGUCACAUAAGAAGAGGAGGUUGCAACGCAGACACCUUCAGAGCAAGAACCACCUGAGACAGGGCGAAGAAGGCCAUCUGUGAGGCACAGAGAGAGGCCUCAGUGGAAACCCGUCCUGCCAGCUGCUUCGUCUUGGACUUGUAGCCGCAGGACUGGGAGAAGAUAACACAGUCUGUGGUGCUUUGCUAUGUAUGGCAGCCAGGUACCAACUAAGCAGCUUCCACCUUGUGGCCUGGAGUAGAGGACAAGCUGUCAACUCAUUGAGAAGAAAGGAAGAGAUGACCGAACACUUCAAACAGACAGAGAAAUGAGCUUCAGUGUAUACAAGAAUAAUGAGAAAUUUAAGGAAAAAAACAUGUUUCACCUAUGGGAAGAUGGAUUCUGAGCUAUCAGUUAAAAGCUAAGAAAAGCUCCAGGAGUCAUUAUUAACUAUUUCUUCCAUAUAUCAGUCCAAUUAGCAGUUUAAACUAAAAAAAAAAAAAAUUAAUAAGCUAAGAGUUUCUAUAUAGAAAACAUUUUUUUAAGCAUAAAAAUAAAGCAUCGGGGUAUCCUUGGACAAAGAACCAUAAUGAAAGAUGGAAGAGUAUGUGAAAUUCUGAUUUGAAUAAUUUAAGAAAAACAUCAAAUAAAAAUAAAAGAUCCAAAGAGAUAGUGAAAAUUUGAAGGGAAAGAAGAGAUUUAGAAAUGAGAACAGAAGGUACCAGGGAAAGAGCGAGAAGGAACAGAAUUAGGGUUUUUGAAAUUCUAAAAAUAAAAGUCUGGGUAGACAGGUGCUGGUUCUCCAAAUCCCACAGCGCCAGACCUGAUGAAAGCUUCUUGGAGUUGAAGUCUUGCUUUAGA